GCAAAGUAUAAAGGCUUCCAACAUAACUUCUCAUAAAAUAUGGGCAAAGUUAAAUUACUUCCAGCCAAGUUAACACUUGCAAUUAAAGCAUGAGAUGUAUUCAUUUUAAGUACCAUAUGAAGUCUGAAUUCCAGAGCUCUAAAAUCUGCAACUGCUGGUCAAGGGGCAAUGUUAUUUUUAUCUCCAGUAAUAGCUUGCUGGGAGAAGCAUCCUGUUGUGUAAGAUGACUAACAAGGUCAUCUGCUUCACAAACAUUACUCAAGAUGAUGCACAGGGAAAUGGCAGCAGAGAAGUGAAGUGCUUUCCCAGGUCCCAGAGCAAUGGAGUUGAGAAAGCAUCCUUCAUCCCAGAGCACAGACUGACCACAGACUGUUACCUCUAGGGAAAAAGUAUGCAACUUCAGUUCCUCUUCCUGAAUUUUGCCCAGUCCCUGGAGACUGGAUCAUGGAAAGGUUAAUCCACAUCUGCCAUUACACCAGCCAGGAUUUUUAUUUUAGCGUAUUACUGCAUUGGUAACUUAAUUGACAUAGAAAUCAACAAGUGUUUACACUUGAGCACCGUUUGGGCCUGAUGCUUUUGUUGUACUUCUCAGCAUUUUUUCCCUUAAACCAAAUGCACCAUCUGCUCAUUGCUCUGUACAUAUGUUAUGCAUCUAAACAUUUUUGAAAGGAGGAAGUAAAUUGCAUGGCCUGCCAGUGGUAUUUUUUUGUGUGUGGCUGCAAAUAAACUAAGACCAUACAUUACAAUUUUUGUUGCUAAAAGUCAGAACUACAGUUUGGACCCUUUAUGGGUCUGCUGUUGCUGUGUGUUUAGAGCACAGUGGGAUAUGUAAAACCCAGCUUUCUACAAGUCAGUCAAAUUCCUUGUGUUGCCAAGAAGUACAUAAAGUUCUUAUUGACCAAAUUAAACAGAUUUUGCACAGUUUUAAAGCAAGAACUGUGAGCAAUAUUGAAGAACUAAGCUUAGGAAAAACAGGAGAGUAAAAUUCAAUUGUCACUCUAAUGGACCUUUCCCAUUUAGUUCUGGAGUUUUAAGAUGGGAAUUGACAAAGCACUAAAGGUACUUUUCUGUUAAUAGCAAAUCAACUUCCAAAUGGUGCAUAACAUAAGUGCCAUUAUAAAAUGCUGUUAUCUUGGUUUUAUUCCUUUAUGGCUAAGCCACAACAAUGGUAUUUUCACAUUGAAAACUCCUGUGCACUCUGUCAUAAUAUCUGUCAGUAACUUAAGGUUUUUAACAGAUUUGAGGGGUAGGAGAGGAUACCAGAUGACGUUUUUAUUGUGAUUACGCAGUAAUGCAACACAGACUCUCUGCAGCACCACCAAAUGGAGAACACACCACCACAGACACAGGAGCCAAUCAGGCAGCCUUAACACCAGUGCAAGCUGCUAGGAACGGAGACCAGAAAGCACCACUUCCUAUACAGAGUAGCAGCCACAGGCCUGAAACACUUGGGAUGAACACUACCAAUGACCCCACAACACUGCCACAGGGUGCAGAGAAAGGGCCAGAACAGCCACUCCAGGCAGCUGGAACAUCCUCUAACACCAGGACACUACAGCCUUGGCAGAAAUGAUUCUUGUGAAUUUUUCUGCCAGUAUGACAAGUAAUGGUGAAAGCAGCAGAGAGGACACUGAAGGAGAACGAGGAUGCUUCUGACUUUGCUUCUUUAAGAUAAUAUAGUGAGUGCAGGCAAUUUCCCAUGGUGAUCCACCUAGGCAGCAACAAAACUGAUAAAACUGGAACUGUGGAUCCCUACUCUAGCAGACUGAGCACAGUGCUACCCUGUCUUGAAGCUACGUUUCAAUGUCCCUUCAAGGAAGCUGGUCCGUCUCCUCUCCAGAGUAUGACUGGUAGUGCCACUGCUCUUUGUUGAGUGCAGUAUUUUGGAUUUCAGUCUGUUAACUGGGUAGAUUCCAUCAAGGGUCCAACUUAUUUUGGAAUAAUCUCCAUGAAGAUACUGAAGCCGCAGAGCUGCUAGGCGCUGCAGAGUGUCCUCUGGUGCUGGAAAAUGACCAUCUAUGAGGCUUUCAUGAGCCUACAAACAAACAGAAAGUCCCCCAGACUCAUCAGAAAGCAGAAGCACACUUUAUUCGCAGCUGGGUCCAUGUACAGAUUCCUAUGGCAUCUGCCGAUCCCAGUAGGAAAGACACAAUUCAGGUGGUUACAGCAGACAUUGCAAUAAAUAAGUCAAAGUCUGCAAUUGGUCAAUGUGGGGGGAACACCCCUUUCUGUAAACCUGGACAGGACAAAGAUCUCUGAGGGGCUCCUACCCUGCACAGGAAGUCCUACAAUGAGGACCAUUUAUGUCUGGAACAGAUGAGAGAUAUUGGAAUUGAGGCAAUUUGGUUUUGUGCUGUACCAGCUCCUGCGUGGAGAUAUAUUCAACACCAGAGUCAGAUGUAAUAAAUUCAAGAUUCUCAACCUCAGUUUCAUUACACAAAAGCAGUUCGCACCUCCUCCUCUUUCACUCAACAUCUCUCCCAAUCUUCUUGCUUCCCUUUGUCUGUUUUUCUGUUAAAUCUAUUUAUGGGGGGGGGGUUGCUACAUCCAUUUAAUGCCUGGAUAACACCUACUCUCCUACUGUUACUUCUUGCCAGUUGAUGCUGUGUAGACUGAAAGCCCUGUCAACAGGGAGUUUGGUACAACUGAGUUUCCACAGAGCACCAUGAUGUCUUGUUCCCAACCGUUCUCUAGACAUUCUUUAAUUGACAAUACUUGACAAUACUUGACGUUCAUUUCAUCUGUGUGAUGAAUAUGCCACCCAUUUGACUAUCAGUGAGUUUCAGUCUUCAUGACUCUGACUGCCUUUGAUAACAUCUUUAAUAAUUUUCACCAGCUAUGAUUUUCUGAGGUAAGGUCGGUGUUCAUUAGUGAAGUCAUACAGAUGGGACAAAUCACACAGCUGGGUGAUGCAGUCAGUUUAGUUCUACAUCCCUAACUGGCUCUUUCAUACCAGUGUGAUCUCUGAUCUAAGCAUCAUCAUUGUGCUACGGAGUACAGUGACUUAAAAAAACAAGACUACUUGUCAGAUAAACAUUGUCAACUACAUUCUUUUUUCCUUUGUCUGUAGUACUCUUCUAGAGCCUCUCUGUAAUCAAAAGAAAUCGCCCAAAAGAUAGGUUUCAUAGUUAAUUCUGGUAACACCCCAAGGAUGUGCUGAUCUGCAGACUUUCCAGUUUUCUUUACAUUUAUGUUCUGCGAGCAGCUACUUUCAAUGAUUCAUCUUGAAUCAUUAUCCAAAUUUCUAUGUCUUUUAAAAGUAAAGUUUAAAAACAUUUUAUUAUCGUUGGUCUUACAUUUUUUUUUUAAGCCUUUGCUAAUUUUCUUGCUUUUAUUCUAAUACUCCUCUUACCUAGAAAACUUCACAGUGUACCUGCUUUGUAGAUUCCAGGCAAAAAUACAAAACACUAAUUCUUCUGUUCCAACCAGCAUUCCCUCUUCUAAUGAAAGGUAAGCCAAUUUUCUGUAUACUCAUGUGCUUCUGCCACCCUGGAAACCAGGUAACUCUCACAAAGUGAGCUUACCUGCUCAAACAUGAAGGCAAAUUCCACCCCAUCUUUGGGAACAUUCUCAAUAUCCAAGAAGCAAUAAAGCUUAAAAUACAGUUGCCACUGUCCCUCCUCUUCUUCUUCAGAGCCAGCAAGUCUGUAAGAUAUGAAAGAGAAUGAGAAGGGAAAAAACCAGUAAGGAAAAGAACCACAGUACUGGGAUGUCCACAGUGCAACUCACAAUCUGAAGGUAACCCUGGAUUCUGAAAUCCAGUGUUACAUCCAACUAGGAAUUAAAGGUUUUAUGAAACAUUCUUUUACCUCUCAAACUUGGCCAAGAUAUCAGCCACAAUCACCCGACUCUCCACAGCACGGUCAACCUGCUGAUUAUGUUCAAAGAGCGCAAACAUAUUCCGGCUGUCCUCCAUUGCUAAACCUCGGAUCAGCUUUUCAACCACCUGCAAAAUCAGAGACACACAGAUCACACAACAGGUAUUACACAGACUUUCACACUGAAAAAUCAGUACUUCUUCAGGACACUCAUAAUUUCAUACACUUCCAUCACAUUUCUCCCUUAGUUACCUCAUUUUCAGAAUAAUAAAUACUAACCCUAAAAGAUGAUUCCCUGUACUUAUAUUUGAUUAUCCUUGCUUUUCUUCUCUGAACCUUUUCAAUUUCCCCUUUUUAAAGAUCUACCCUUUUUAAGAUGGGGAAAUUAGAGCUCUGCACAAGAUAUAGGCACAUAAUGGAUUCAGAUGGCAUGACAUUCUCAGUUCCUCUAAUAACAAUUCCACUUUUUCCUCUGUUGAGCACUAAUGUUUUCGCAGACAUGACUACUGCAACUUGGAAUCUUGCUUCUGACCUGCUAGUGAUUAAGUUACUGCUAGAAUAUCCCUUUCAGAAGGAUUCCAUUAUGAACUGGAACUUCUACUUGUCCAGAAAACUGUUUAGCAAGUCUUCACAAUUAGUACCUUUCCAAUGGAUAAAACACCAGAAGUGUUUAGAUUUUGCAACACAAUUGUCAGGUGAUAUUCUACAACAUGGGCACUGGCCUUGUAGAAUAAGCUGAAAUUUCCCUACAGAUACAGCAAAAAAAUUAUAAUUAAAAAAAAAAACACCAA